GGAACGCCCGGCCCGCGGCCGGGCGGACGCGUUCCGCGAACGCGUCCCCGCGCGGAUGCGCGGGUUCCGCCGCCCGCGUCUCCCGCC
rnacentral:tRNA from 1 species